rnacentral:tRNA from 1 species
UUGAUAGAAGCCAAAAAGCGGCAAAUCACUGUUAAUGAUUUAAUUGAAAAUUUUCCUAUCAAU